GCCUACGUGGUCUAGCGGCUAUGACACCACCCUGUCACGGUGGUAAUCCGAGUUCAACUCUCGGCGUGGGCG
rnacentral:tRNA from 1 species